rnacentral:rRNA from 1 species
GACGAACGCUGGCGGCGUGCUUAACACAUGCAAGUCGAACGGAAAGGCCCUGCUUUUGUGGGGUGCUCGAGUGGCGAACGGGUGAGUAACACGUGAGUAACCUGCCCUUGACUUUGGGAUAACUUCAGGAAACUGGGGCUAAUACCGGAUAGGAGCUCCUGCUGCAUGGUGGGGGUUGGAAAGUUUCGGCGGUUGGGGAUGGACUCGCGGCUUAUCAGCUUGUUGGUGGGGUAGUGGUUUACCAAGGCUUUGACGGGUAGCCGGCCUGAGAGGGUGACCGGCCACAAUGGGACUGAGAGACGGCCCAGACGCCUACGGGAGGCAGCAGUGGGGAAUAUUGCACAAUGGGCGGAAGCCUGAGGCAGCAACGCUGCGUGCGGGAUGACGGCCUUCGGGUUGUAAACCGCUUUCGCCUGUGACGAAGCGUGAGUGACGGUAAUGGGUAAAGAAGCACCGGCUAACUACGUG